CGAAGUGUAGUUCAGCCUGGUAGAACGCUGCGUUCGGGACGCAGAGGUCGCUGGUUCGAGUCCAGUCACUUCGACCA
rnacentral:tRNA from 2 species